rnacentral:rRNA from 1 species
GACGAACGCUGGCGGCGUGCUUAACACAUGCAAGUCGAACGGAAAGGCCCUGCUUUUGUUGGUUGCUCGAGUGGCGAACGGGUGAGUAACACGUGAGUAACCUGCCCUUGACUUUGGGAUAACUUCAGGAAACUGGGGCUAAUACCGGAUAUGAGCUCCUGCUGCAUGGUGGGGGUGGGAAAGUUUCGGCGGUUGGGGAUGGACUCGCGGCUUAUCAGCUUGUUGGUGGGGUAGUGGCUUACCAAGGCUUUGACGGGUAGCCGGCCUGAGAGGGUGACCGGACACAUUGGGACUGAGAUACGGGCCAGACUCCUACGGGAGGCAGCAGUGGGGAAUAUUGCACAAUGGGCGGAAGCCUGAUGAAGCAACGCCGCGUGCGGGAUGACGGCCUUCGGGUUGUAAACCGCUUUCGCCUGUGACGAAGAGUGAGUGACGGUAAUGGGUAAAGAAGCACCGGCUAACUACGUG